CCUACGGGAGGCAGCAGUGAGGAAUAUUCGUCAAUGGACGCGAGCCUGAACCAGCCACGUCGCGUGAAGGAAGACUGCUCUACGGUUUGUAAACUUCUUUUAUAAAGAAGUAAAGGGAGGCACGUGUGCCUUUUUGUACGUACUUUAUGAAUAAGGAUCGGCUAACUCCGUGCCAGCAGCCGCGGUAAGACGGAGGAUACGAGCGUUAUCCGGAUUUAGUGGGUUUAAAGGGUGCGUAGGUGGGGGGUUAAGUUAGUUGUGAAAGUCCGCGGCUCAACCGUAGAAGUGCAUGUGAUACUGGCAGGCUUGAGUGCAGUUGAGGUAGGCGGAAUGCAUGGUGUAGCGGUGAAAUGCUUAGAUAUCACGAAGAACACCGAUGGCGAAGGCAGCUUACUAAGCUGCCACUGACAUUGAGGCUCGAAAGUGUGGGGAGCAAACAGGAUUAGAUACCCCUGUAGUC
rnacentral:rRNA from 1 species